rnacentral:antisense_RNA from 1 species
UGUGGGAGCUGGCUUGCCUGCGAUGCAGCCACCUCGGUUUUUCAGUCAUACCGAGGGGAUGCCAUCGCAGGCAAGCCAGCUCCCACA